ensembl:lncRNA
GCGGUUGCUGCUGUCCUUGUAUGAUGUCAUGAUCAUUCAUCUCAUAAUGAGAUGAAAAAGUUCUUAAUGUUUCAUUCUAGGGUCUUCAGAUCAGCUUUUGAGCUUCUGGCUUCUUCAGAUCAGCAUAACAUGGAUGGUCUUGUUGGUAAGGCAAUGUCAAGGUCAUGGGUUUGAAUCCUAAAAUCCUAAAAACAGAUCAUCUUAGGCUACAGAUGCAUUUUUGUGAUUAAAGGGAUCUUUUGUGGUGUUUUGCAGCCUCAUCUGUUCUGGACCGCACACGCUUUGAUUUGCCACGUUCCCUGCAGCAUCAGCGCUGAGCCAUGAAGACCUCAUGCAAGCUGAACGGAGAGAACCGACCUCCCCUCGACCGUGCAGACGCACAGCGAGGGCCAGGAUGUCACACGAUGUAUUAAAGGGGAAAUCGGCUUUGAUUCUGCGUGAGUUGACUGGCAAAAUGAUGACUAAAGAAGAACCAGAGACAGACUGAGAAUGUCAUGUCGGGCCUGUAUUAGGUUUUGGGGGAAACCGGCCACUUUGAAGGGGAACUCGACGCUGGAAACUUUCAGAACGACUCACUUGUGUUCAAGCAGCAUGAAAGUAAAAGAGGGGAGCGAGUCAGAGAGGUAAAUGCUGACGGCUGGAGAUUUCUCCCCCCAGCACAUCUUUCAGCAUUAACUGGCUAAGGUCAGUCAUUUCUCUCUCACAGAUUUCUGUCUAUUUGAGAAACAGUGUGUAGAAAAAUAUUUGAAUGACUCCCACUUAUUUUGCUGCAGGUCUUUUUUGUUGGUAUAAAAAUACGCAUGAGAGGGAGAGAAAGAGAAAUGCUGACCGUAUUUCCGGGCCUCUCCGGUCGUGAAACAGACGUGUGGAAGAACCUGACAGCCAUGAAAUAAAUUAAUGCAAUCUGCCA